AUGAACGCUGGCGGUAGGCCUAACACCUGCCCGUCGAACGGCAGCACAGUAAGAGCUUGCUCUUACGGGUGGCGAGUGGCGGACGGGUGAGGAAUACAUCGGAAUCUACUUUUUCGUGGGGGAUAACGUAGGGAAACUUACGCUAAUACCGCAUACGACCUACGGGUGAAAGCAGGGGAUCUUCGGACCUUGCGCGAUUGAAUGAGCCGAUGUCGGAUUAGCUAGUUGGCGGGGUAAAGGCCCACCAAGGCGACGAUCCGUAGCUGGUCUAAGAGGAUGAUCAGACACACUAGAACUGAGACACGGUCCAGACUCCUACGGGAGGCAGCAGUGGGGAAUAUUGGACAAUGGGCGCAAGCCUGAUCCAGCCAUACCGCGUGGGUGAAGAAGGCCUUCGGGUUGUAAAGCCCUUUUGUUGGGAAAGAAAAGCAGCAGGUUAAUACCCCGCUGUUCUGACGGUACCCAAAGAAUAAGCACCGGCUAACUUCGUG
rnacentral:rRNA from 1 species